rnacentral:SRP_RNA from 2 species
GGCCAGGCCCAGCGCGACCCGACCUUGUGAACCCCGUCAGGACCGGAAGGUAGCAGCGGUAAGCAAUCACUCGGGUGCGCCGCUGAAAAACCUGGCCCUU